ACGGAGGGGGCAAGCGUUGUUCGGAAUCACUGGGCGUAAAGCGCGUGUAGGAGGCUUUACAAGUCGGAGGUGAAAGGCAGGAGCUCAACCAUUGUAAGGCUUGCGAACUGGUAGACUUGAGUGCAGGAGAGGAAAGUGGAAUUCCUGGUGUAGCGGUGAAAUGCGUAGAUAUCAGGAGGAACACCAGUGGCGAAGGCGGCUUCCUGGACUGAAACUGACGCUGAGACGCGAAAGCGUGGGGAGCAAACAG
rnacentral:rRNA from 1 species